CAUACGGGGGGCAGCAGUGGGGAAUAUUGGACAAUGGGCGAAAGCCUGAUCCAGCCAUGCCGCGUGUGUGAAGAAGGCCUUCGGGUUGUAAAGCACUUUCAGUGGGGAAGAAAGCCUUGGGGCUAAUACCCUCGAGGAAGGACAUCACCCACAGAAGAAGCACCGGCUAACUCCGUGCCAGCAGCCGCGGUAAUACGGAGGGUGCGAGCGUUAAUCGGAAUUACUGGGCGUAAAGCGCGCGUAGGCGGUCUGAUAAGCCGGUUGUGAAAGCCCCGGGCUCAACCUGGGAACGGCAUCCGGAACUGUCAGGCUAGAGUGCAGGAGAGGAAGGUAGAAUUCCCGGUGUAGCGGUGAAAUGCGUAGAGAUCGGGAGGAAUACCAGUGGCGAAGGCGGCCUUCUGGACUGACACUGACGCUGAGGUGCGAAAGCGUGGGUAGCAAACAGGAUUAGAUACCCGGGUAGUC
rnacentral:rRNA from 1 species